rnacentral:rRNA from 1 species
CGAACGGGAUGCUUAGGCAUCUAGUGGCGGACGGGUGAGUAACGCGUGAGAAUCUGGCUCCAGGUCGGGGAUAACAGUUGGAAACGACUGCUAAUACCGGAUGUGCCGAGAGGUGAAAGGUUUAUUGCCUGGAGAUGAGCUCGCGUCUGAUUAGCUAGUUGGUGGUGUAAGGGACCACCAAGGCAUCGAUCAGUAGCUGGUCUGAGAGGAUGAUCAGCCACACUGGGACUGAGACACGGCCCAGACUCCUACGGGAGGCAGCAGUGGGGAAUUUUCCGCAAUGGGCGAAAGCCUGACGGAGCAAUACCGCGUGAGGGAGGAAGGCUCUUGGGUCGUAAACCUCUUUUCUCAAGGAAGAAGAAAGUGACGGUACUUGAGGAAUAAGCAUCGGCUAACUCCGUGCCAGCAGCCGCGGUAAUACGGAGGAUGCAAGCGUUAUCCGGAAUGAUUGGGCGUAAAGGGUCUGCAGGUGGAACUGAAAGUCUGCUGUUAAAGAGUUUGGCUUAACCAAAUAAAAGCGGUGGAAACUACAGAACUAGAGUGCGGUAGGGGCAAAAGGAAUUCCUGGUGUAGCGGUGAAAUGCGUAGAUAUCAGGAAGAACACCGGUGGCGAAAGCGUUUUGCUAGACCGUAACUGACACUGAGGGACGAAAGCUAGGGGAGCGAAUGGGAUUAGAUACCCCAGUAGUCCUAGCCGUAAACGAUGGAUACUAGGCGUGGCUUGUAUCGACCCGAGCCGUGCCGGAGCUAACGCGUUAAGUAUCCCGCCUGGGGAGUACGCACGCAAGUGUGAAACUCAAAGGAAUUGACGGGGGCCCGCACAAGCGGUGGAGUAUGUGGUUUAAUUCGAUGCAACGCGAAGAACCUUACCAAGACUUGACAUCCUGCGAAUCCUGGUGAAAGCUGGGAGUGCCUUCGGGAGCGCAAAGACAGGUGGUGCAUGGCUGUCGUCAGCUCGUGUCGUGAGAUGUAGGGUUAAGUCCCGCCACGAGCGCACCCUCGUUUUUAGUUGCCAGCAUUAGUGGGGACCUCUAGAGAGACUGCCGGUGACAACCGGGAGGAAGGUGAGAUGACGUCAAGUCAGCAUGCCCUUUAAGUCUUGGGCUACACACGUACUACAAUGCUACGGACAGAGGGCAGCGAGCCAGGGAUGGCAAGCGAAUCCAGAAACCGUAGCUCAGUUCAGAUCGAAGGCUGCAACUCGCCUUCGUGAAGGAGGAAUCGCUAGUAAUUGCAGGUCAGCAUACUGCAGUGAAUUCGUUCCCGGGCCUUGUACACACCGCCCGUCACACCAUGGAAGUUGGUCACGCCCGAAGUCAUUACCCCAACCGAAAGGAGGGGGAUGCCUAAGGUAGGACUGGUGACUGGGGUGAAGUCGUAACAAGGUAGCCGUACCGGAAGGUGUGGCUGGAUCACCUCCUUU